GGCGCCUAUAUUUCCACUUCCACGUGUGGGCUGCUCUUACUUUUUUCCGAUUAAAAUGUGUACAUUAUUAUGUUGACGUGUAGUUUUUCUGUGGUGAGCUGAAUGUUUAAGCUGCAAAAAGAAAGCCUUCAUGUUUUAAAAGAACAUAAGAGAAGUUAUCAGCUGUUUAUCUUAAACAUCUACGUCACUUCUUCGUACGACCCGGGCUUUGGACGCAGAAGUUAGAGCAGAGGAAAGAAAUUGAUAGAUUCUUCCAGUUGAUGUUGUUGCUGGAGGGUAUAUAACAGGAAGCAGAUGUGGAAUGGGCAAGGGGCCAAUAUUUUUUCGCUUUGGCCAGUAAAAUGAUGUGGAUAAUUCUUAUGCAUAAAAACUGGUUGCUAGAAACAAGUCUUAAGUGAUGUAUUUUGAGCAAUUGUUGUGCGACACGUCGCGUCGUUUGUCCUUGAUCGAGACAACAAAAGCCUACUAGUUGCUGUCAAGACCUGCAACAGAAUUACAUAAGGACAAACAACGACUUGUUGAAAGCUUUCCAAUCAGAUUUAAAUUAAUUAGAAUGUAUUAAUUUCUCAGUGGUUUCUGGUUCAAUACUCAUUGAAAUGAAACAAAUUUCUACAAUGUUAUAUUCUCUGCUUCAGUUGUGCAUUAAUUACAAGAAAAUAUUUUACAUAAUAAUAACUAAGGAUGUACUAAAUACCAUACUUUGCGGAAUGCUGAAUAUGAUAAAAAUUACGCAUUUUUAUUACAUAUUUGUAUUUCUGUUUUAUGCCACUUCAAAAUAAAAAGUCGUAUAUUUUUCA